GUGCUCACUCCGGCAGCACAUAUAUUAAAAUUGCGAUGAUAUAGAGAUUAGCAUGGCUCCUGCACAAGUAUGACAUGCAAAUUUUGAAGUGUUCCAUAGUUUA